rnacentral:misc_RNA from 1 species
AACUUUCAACAACGGAUCUCUUGGUUCUCGCAUCGAUGAAGAACGCAGCGAAAUGCGAUACGUAAUGUGAAUUGCAGAAUUCAGUGAAUCAUCGAAUCUUUGAACGCACAUUGCACUCUUUGGUAACCCGAAGAGUAUGCCUGUUUCAGAUAAAAUCUCACAAAGUGAAAUUUUGUUUCAAAUUGUGGACUUGGAUUUGCGAUCAUAAAAAGAUUGCUAAUCUAAAAUGAAUUUCAUGAAGCUUAACAUGCUUUGAAUCUUUGCUUAAUAGUUUUGCUUUGUCAAAUCUUUUGCAAUCGAUUCAAAAGCCAAAAAGUGGAUUGAUUUUACGAAAAUCAAACUCUCAUUUAUCUGAAAUCAGGUAGGACUACCCGCUGAACUUAAGCAUAUCAAUAAGCGGAGGAAAAGAAACUAACAAGGAUUCCCCUAGUAACGGCGAGUGAAGCGGGAAGAGCUCAAAUUUAAAAUCUGGCGUAUGCCCGAGUUGUAGUCUAUAGAAGUGUUUUCCUUUGAGUACCGAGAUACAAGUCUUCUGGAAAGAAGCAUCAUAGAGGGUGAGAAUCCCGUCCAUGAUCUCGAGUGGCUUGAUUUUGUGAUACACUUUC